rnacentral:snRNA from 1 species
GUGCCUAAAUUUAAUGAGUAAGGAAAACCAUGUUAGUCUUGCUAAUCGCUUGACUGGUUGCUUCUAAGGCAGUGGGAUGAAAUAUCAUUAAUACCGCUUUCUUUUUAGUGGUUUGGUGGUAUGGAAUCUCAUAUGAAGCGUGAAUUUUUGAUAGGGUACAGGUCGUCCCUUUGAACUCAUGAGCUUACUACUUUUUCGAGCUGUAGAGUUUGGGUGAAGCGAUUUGCCCU